GUUAGCAUAUAUAUAUAUAUAUAUCAAUCUUUGGAUCAUAAAUCUCAAACGAUUUCCUUAUAGAUGCUUAUAUUUUUUUUCCCCACAACAACAAUGGAGCAACCAGAAUGCUUCCUUGCCUGUUGUGAUCAUCGUUGCAGAGUCAACAUCGCUUCCUUACCGAGUUUCAACAGCUUUACCUAGACACUAACCACACCUCACUAAGCGAACAGAAUGAUUCUCAGUCUUCAGACGCCUCUUCCUGGGACUGCUGAUGAUAUCGUUCGCUCUGCAAGGAGAGCAGCCCAAAGUUGGUGUCUGGGUAAUGCUGUUGAGUCUCUGCAGGGAAGUACGAAUCAGGCAAACGAGGACUGCAUCUCUGAAUUAGAUUUCAGAUGUCGAUCUUGAUUGUAUAAAUGGAUGAAAUUUUCAUUUAUUGUUUAUUCCGCUUCCACUACGUCUUUGGUAUCGUUUUCUAACAUGGCCUGCUCGUGAUUGCAGUGGCUAACCAAUUGGGUACUGAUGAUGCCGAUAAUAAAAUGUUCAAUCGAUGUCACGGUCACUUGGAACCAGUCUGGAGGAACCAAAUUGACUCAAGAGCCCAUGCUUUUAUGGUUUGAUAUCCGGCACGGUUUUGAUACUUAUGCCUUGGGGCCGGGAUAUUAGAAGGCAGACUAUGGGGGCCACACAGAUCCUGUAUCAGGUUUCUCCAUCUGGGGCCAAGAUAUUGUGUCGAUUUCGAGAAACAAGAUCGGGGUUCCUCUCUAUCAAAGUCUUGAUGAGGUACUUUAACUAGCAUCUACAUCUUAUAUGGUUGGAGCUCGUGGUUGCACCAACACUAUAGUAAUUGAUCUAGAAAACUGCCAAUGCUUAUCAAUAACGUGCAAAGGUCAGAACUUUCUCUCUAAGUUGGGAAAAACUGAAGUAUUAUCUAAAAUGGGUGGAAUUUCUUACUUCGUUCAAUUCGGCGGAGAUUAAGUAGCAGAAAUCCUAUGCAGAAUUCCUUCCAUCCGUUCAACUCAUCCGUAAAGAGUCACUGAGUUUAUUUUCAAUACUCCGAAAAAAGAAAAAAAGAUAUCAUAUAGCUCUAAUCAGAGUCCAUGAAUAUCUCUUAGACAACAAGAAGAAAAGCAAAAGGAAAAUACUAACAAGCAAAGCAGCCCAGAUCACCAUCUACUUCUUAUUAUUCUUUUUCCUCUUCCUGUGUUCAUCUGAAAGUGGAGGAAACUGCUUAUCAUCGAGAGUAUAGGGUGAUGGCGUUGCUGGCCUUGGUGGCUGUGCUGGCGUUGCUGGCCUUGGUGGCUGUGCUGGCGUUGCUGGCCUUGGUGGCUGCUGUGGUGUUGCAGGCCUUAGUGGCUGUGCUGGAGUUGCAGGCCUUGAUCGCGGCUGUGGCGAUGCUGGCCUAGGUGGCGAUUGGGGGGGUGGUGGCGGCUGGUGGAGUACCCUCUCGUCUUCUAUGCCCGAGGUGGCGUUGGCCUGCUGCUUGUGACACUGAUGAUCACUCAGUGUUCCCGACCUUGGGUGGCCCAUAGUGUUGCUCCCGCCCACUGACAGAGGAUGCCCUCCAUUUUUUGUAAGAUUAUCUGGAACAUAGGGGGUCGGGGGAGGAAGCUCUGCAGCAAGUUCCUUAACCAGUCUAACCGUCUCUGGGGAAGAAGGCCUGGGUGGCGAGUCGGGCUGCUUGCUCCAUUUCUUGGCAAAGUCUGCAAGGGAUGCUUGGGCUUUCAUAUCACGGUGAAGUUCGCUGAGCACCUGCUGCUUUUGAUGGUCUCCUGGUUGAUACUGAUGAUGAUGUCCGGCCGAUGCUACUAAAUCUGGCGAGGGGCCCUGAGCAGAAACCCUGUUCUCUGGCUCUGCAUUAACAACAACAAUGCAAUAUUUAUCAGAGUUCUGUUUGAUCUAGAUCACCCAACAUCAGACAAUCCUCCUCAUCAUAGUAGUCAGUUAGUACACAUACCCAUCCUUCGCUCCGCGAUGGCCACUGAUGCACCCAAAUGGGUUGUUGACGGUCCCAGUGGGCAAGGAUUCGAAGUGGAGGCCUUGCCACUCGGGUACUGAUGAUGAGAUCCUAGAGGGGUAGACCUAAGGUCCCUUGAUGGUCCCGUGGCCAUCGGCUGUCCGGGGCCCUGCAUCGGUGAUGAUGACACAAUCUCUUUAUUUUUGCUGCCUUGGUUGCUGGAAGAUGAUCCUGCCAUUGCCCAUGGAAGUAACAAUCAAUCAGUUGAAGUUUCUUGCAGUCAGCUUAUCAAAUUUGUAAAAACAGAGGAUGCAUUUUCCGAACAGGGAGGAGAUCAUUGCUUCCUUGAACUUAAGUCGGACAAACUUCCUAUAUAAACUCUUUGCUGAUUUCCGA